GUAAUAUUAGCAUGGACCAUUAACAGUUUAUUAAAACACAUAACAUCGUUUUGUUGCAAUGUCACAUCUUAUAAAAGAAAUCAAAUACAAAUAAAUAAGACCACACAAACAGCAGGUUUUGAUAACCUUAAUUACGGCAGCGAGUAAUGGCACUGCAACCACGGGAAUAAGGGUUGGCCUCUGCACCUGGCUGGCAGUUGUAGUAGGAUGCACCUCUCUGGGAACAUGGCACGGUGUCCCUCUGCAGCGCUCCGUAGCUUAGGUACUGUGUGGACGCUGUCUGCAGUAUCCGCCGGCUUAUCUCAGAGCCCAUGUGGAAUUCAUCUUCUCCAAUGCACUCUGCUACAGAGCCUUGGCAUGGGACUUUCGUGGGGAUCCAGCUCAGUUUGUGGUCUCCGCUUGCUUCAAUGGUGGGUGAGGAGAUGAUCAGAGCUGAGAGAAAUAAGAAGGUCAAGAGAAAGAUGGAGGAAUUGGCCAUUGUUGUUGCUUGCAUGCUUGCUUGCUUUCUUUCUUUACGUGUCUAUAUAGA
rnacentral:misc_RNA from 1 species